AGGCUGGAGUGGUCUUAUUUAGUGAACCGCGCCGUGGUGUGUUGAAAAAGUGAAGCGCAAUAGCAUAAAGCGCAAUUAAAUUCUGGUAGGCGACUAGUGCGAGUAGAAACGAAGAUUAGAAGAUUCGUAGCAGCAUCGGUUUAUUGCCGA